AAAAACAUGUCCUUUGUGGUCCCUGUAACCCCCCCUAGAAGGCAAGGUUCUGUCGUGUUCAAGGUUCACGACACUGCUCACCCAAGGUGGAGCAGAACAGCAAUGGAUUCCAUCACAGUGAUGCAGAUUGAUCAUGGAUGGGGUUUGGAGUGUUGUUUGUGCUUUCGUGUUCUGAGGUCUGGAGAGGAGAAAGCCCUGUCUCUCUGCUCUGGAGCUGUCUAGAACUCGUUCAACAUAGAGAGUCCCAUCUAGACACUUUAAGGUUGUGAGGGCAAUCAACCAGAGGAGAACACUUUUUUUAGUUUCCAAGCAAGGAGAAGGCGUAGGUAACUGUCGAUCAGGGUUGUAGGUAAGUGUUGAUCACCGAACGUGGUGGAUGCGUGGCUGUUUUUCUGAUCUUCAACUGGGAGGGCCACGUUGACACAGAUGAAAACAUUUCAGCCUAAUGUAAACAUUAGAUUUAGCCUUCCGUCGAUCUCUAAAACAGAAACCCAGAUUGUUGGGUUCUGUUGCGAGAUAUUUUUUUCAAUGUUUAUUUACUUUUGAGAGAGAGAGAGAGAGACAGAGAGAGAGCGAGAGAGAGUGAGCCAGGGAGGGCCGGCAGAGGAUGUGGGGUGGGCUCUGGGCUGAUAGCAGAGAGCGCAAUGUGGAGCUGAAACUCACAAACAGUGAGAUCCUGACCUCAGCUCAAGUCGGACACUCACCUACAGAGCCGCCCAGGCGCCCCAGAUUGUCAGGUGUUUAAAUCAACAAGGCUUUCUAGAUUUCAACAAAGAAACGGUGACAAAGAAAGCUGAAGUCUCCAGUGGAAUGCCAGCUAGUAAACGUAGACGAAAUAGUGCAGUGAGCUGUUCGGUUUCCUCCAAGAUUUAACAGAUGUGAACGUUUUAGAAUUUGGCCUCCGGUCUCCUUUGCCAAACAAAAGGCAACAAGCUGCAUCAUAUCGGACACCAGCGCCUUCUCCCUUGCUGUCCUCCUUUGCCAGAGGUGAGACAAGCUGAGUGUCAUCGUCAGAAAGAAGGCAGCUGACAGUUCACUUCCAAUGUGACUCUUUUCUCCAGAUGAUACUUCCGUGUGACCCAAGCCAGUGCGGUCCCCAGAAACCCAGAGUAAAUUCCAUAUUAUCUGAUAGAACGUCUUACACUUGGAGUCAGAGACUCAGUAUAUUCAAGCAUGAGGAAUUGGAAACAAAAGAUAAUCAGGAGAAAAUGUAGUUUGGAUUAUUUUAUUCUACUCAGACCCAUAAAGUAGAGACAUGCAAGAAAUAUCAGUUGAACACAGGAAACAAAGACGAGGGAAGGAUGCAAGUGGUUAAUAGUGACCUGACUGGUGACUCUGACUCCUUAGCUUCAAUGGAUAGCACCGUGCUGGCCACCAGCAGGGCGGCCAGGAAACAGCGUCCCAGGCUGUGGCUCAGGAAGGGGCUGUUGCAGGUGGGAC